rnacentral:misc_RNA from 1 species
CGCACGGCCGCCAGAGCGAGUGCGGCUGACCGGCGGAUCGCUCGGGGCCCUUGCGAUUCCGCGUGUGACGCCGGGGAUUCCAUCCGAUCUGCUGACGCAGCGGCCUGACAUCCGGCGUCAGGAAAACCAGUUGGCGUCUGCGACGGCGAAUGUCGGCAGCGCACGGGCGCAGUUCUUCCCGAGCAUUCAACUCACCGGGCAGGGCGGNCAAAGCGCCCAACUGGCGAUGUUGUUUACCCCGCAGUCGGCGUUCUUCAACGUUGCGGCCG